rnacentral:rRNA from 1 species
UACGUAGGGGGCAAGCGUUGUCCGGAAUCAUUGGGCGUAAAGAGCGUGUAGGCGGCUUGGUAAGUCCGCUGUGAAAGUCCAGGGCUCAACCCUGGAAUGCCGGUGGAACUGUCAAGCUUGAGUCCGGAAGAGGCGAGUGGAAUUCCUGGUGUAGCGGUGAAAUGCGCAGAUAUCAGGAGGAACACCAAUGGCGAAGGCAGCUCGCUGGGACGGUACUGACGCUGAGACGCGAAAGCGUGGGGAGCAAACAGG